rnacentral:rRNA from 1 species
UCUCCUGGAAACGGGUGGUAAUGCCGGAUGCUCCGCCCCCUCGCAUGGGGGGUCGGGAAGGCUUUUGCGGAAUGGGAUGGGGUCGCGUCCUAUCAGCUUGUUGGCGGGGCGACGGCCCACCAAGGCUUCGACGGGUAGCCGGCCUGAGAGGGCGACCGGCCACAUUGGGGCUGAGAUACGGCCCAGACUCCUACGGGAGGCAGCAGUGGGGAAUAUUGCACAAUGGGGGGAACCCUGAUGCAGCGACGCCGCGUGCGGGAUGGAGGCCUUCGGGUCGUGAACCGCUUUUGAUUGGGAGCAAGCGUGAGCGAGUGUACCUUUCGAAUAAGCACCGGCUAACUACGUGCCAGCAGCCGCGGUAAUACGUAGGGUGCAAGCGUUGUCCGGAAUCAUUGGGCGUAAAGGGCUCGUAGGCGGUUCGUCGCGUCCGGUGUGAAAGCCCAUCGCUUAACGGUGGGUCUGCGCCGGGUACGGGCGGGCUUGAGUGCGGCAGGGGAGGCUGGAAUUCCCGGUGUAACGGUGGAAUGUGUA